CCUACGGGCGGCAGCAGUGGGGAAUAUUGCACAAUGGGCGCAAGCCUGAUGCAGCCAUGCCGCGUGUGUGAAGAAGGCCUUCGGGUUGUAAAGCACUUUCAGCGGGGAGGAAGGCGGUGAGGUUAAUAACCUCAUCGAUUGACGUUACCCGCAGAAGAAGCACCGGCUAACUCCGUGCCAGCAGCCGCGGUAAUACGGAGGGUGCAAGCGUUAAUCGGAAUUACUGGGCGUAAAGCGCGCGCAGGCGGUCUGUCAAGUCGGAUGUGAAAUCCCCGGGCUCAACCUGGGAACUGCAUUCGAAACUGGCAGGCUAGAGUCUUGUAGAGGGGGGUAGAAUUCCAGGUGUAGCGGUGAAAUGCGUAGAGAUCUGGAGGAAUACCGGUGGCGAAGGCGGCCCCCUGGACAAAGACUGACGCUCAGGUGCGAAAGCGUGGGGAGCAAACAGGAUUAGAUACCCGGGUAGUC
rnacentral:rRNA from 1 species